rnacentral:rRNA from 1 species
GUCUACAGCCAUACCACCCUGGACAUGCCUGAUCUCAGAAGCUAAGCAGGGUCGUGCCUGGUUAAUACUUGGAUAGGAGAAAUAGGACAAUUUUAUUUU